rnacentral:tRNA from 1 species
UACGGACUAAAUCCGUUGGCUUUAUAGACCAUGAGGGUUCAAGUCCCUCUACCCCCA